rnacentral:lncRNA from 1 species
GUGUCCCCCAGUUCUAACUAGUGUUUUUAACAAAGUCUACCUACGGUAGUGUUAGCCCAUGGGCGACUUGUCUUGGUUUCCCCUUUUCCCACCAGCAACAAACACAAACACCAUAACCAAAAACAAUACUCACAGGAGAUGACAAAGUGAUUGGAGGUGCUCAAACAAAAAAGAAGGUAAGACACAAAGAAGAGUGAAACACAGAGACCUACAGACAUGGCAUUUACAGAGAGAUUGAGCUGUAGAGCAAACAACUGAUGGGGUUUUUAAACCAAGGGAAGGAAACUGUGAUAGGGUAGGAAACAGGAGAGGGUGGUGUCUUCUGAUUGAUGAUUGAUUGUUGACUGAUUGGGGAGUGAUGAUGUUCACCUGUGAGGGGAGAAGGAGAAAAAAGAAACACACACAGGAUACUUGUAUCCGUAACAGCAACCCUAUGGCAGGCCUAUGGCAACCCAUGGCAGGCCUAUGGCAACCCUAUGGCAGGCCUAUGGCAACCCUUAUGGCAGGCCUAUGGCAACCCUAUGGCAGGCCUAUAGCAACGCUAGGGCAGCCUAUGGCAACCCUAGGGCAGGCCUAUGGCAGGCCUAUGGCAACCUAUGGCAGGCCUAUAGCAACGCUAUGGCAGGCCUAUGGCAACCCUAUGGCAGGCCUAUGGCAGGCCUAUGGAAACCCUAUGGCAGCCCUACGAAGGUAUAUGCAACCCAAUGGCAACCCUAUGGCAACCCUAUGGGCAGGCAUAAUGGCAACCCAUGGAGGCCUAUGGCAACCCUAUGGCAGGCCUAUGGCAACCCUAUGGCAGCCCUAUGGCAGGCCUAUCGCAGGCCUAUGGCAACCCUAUGGCAGCCUAUGGCAACCCUAUGGCAGGCCUAUGGCAACCCUAUGGCAGGCCUAUGGCAACCCUAUGGCAGGCCUAUGGCAGCCCUAUGGCAGGCCUAUCGCAGCCCUAUGGCAACCCUAUGGCAGCCCUAUGGCAAACCCUAGGGCACCAAUGGCAACCAAUGGCAGCCUGGGUACAACGUUAGAGGACCUAAACAUGCCGUCUUACCUUCAUCCAAACAGGUAGAGCCAUCCAUACAAAACAGGU